rnacentral:rRNA from 1 species
UGGGUAGUCCGUACGAGCGCACCCUAUCCUUAGUUGCCAGCGAGUAUGUCGGGAACUCUAGGGAGACUGCCGGUGACAAACCGGAGGAAGGUGGGGACGACGUCAAGUCAUCAUGGCCCUUAUGGGCAGGGCUACACACGUGCUACAAUGGUCCGGCACAGAGGGCUGCGAAGUCGCAAGGCGGAGCGAAUCUCAGAAAACCGGUCGUAGUCCGAGUAUUGCAUGCUCUGCAACUCGACUGCAUGAAGUUGGAAUCGCUAUUAAUCGCGGAUCAGAAUGCCGCGGUGAAUACUUCCCCGGGCCUUGUACACACCGCCCGUCACACCAUGGGAGUGGGCUGUACCAAAAGUAGGUAGUCUAACCUUCGGGGGGACGCUUACCACGGUGUGGUUCAUGACUGGGGUGAAGUCGUAACAAGGUACCCCUAGGGGAACCUGGGGCUGGAUCACCUCCUU